rnacentral:rRNA from 1 species
GACGGACGCUGGCGGCGUGCUUAACACAUGCAAGUCGAACGGGCCCGCCCCUGUUUUUGGGGGUGGGUUGAGUGGCGACCGGGUGAGUAUCCCGUGAGUAACCUGCCCCCUGCUCCUGGAUAUCUUCUUGAAAGGGCGGCUAAUACGGGGUGUGCCGGCUGGUCCGCAUGGGCCUGGUCGGGAUAGUUUCAUCUUCGGGUGUUUCGGUGGGGGAUGGGCUCGCGGCCUAUCAGCUUGUUGGUGGGGUGAUGGCCCACCAAGGCGGUGACGGGUAGCCGGCCUGAGGGGGUGGGCGGCCACACUGGGACUGAGACACGGACCAGAAUCCUGCGGGGGGCAGCAGUGGGGGGUAUUGCACAAUGGGCGGAAGCCUGAUGCAGCGACGUCGCGUGAGGGAUGGAGGCCUUCGGGUUGUGAACCUCUUUCUCCGGUGGUGAAGGCCCUGUCCGUUGCGGCGGGGUUGACGGUAGCCGGGUAUGAAGCGCCGGCUAACUACGUG